rnacentral:rRNA from 1 species
CUUGAACGCUGGCGGCAGGCCUAACACAUGCAAGUCGAACGAGUGGCGGACGGGUGAGUACUGUCUGGGAAACUGCCCGAUGGAGGGGGUUAACUACUGGAAACGGGAGAUCAUAGCGCAUACACCGACCUGUGCCCAGAUGGGCUUAGCUAGUUGGUGGGGUAACGGCUAACCAAGGCGACGAUCCCUAGCUGGUCUGCGAGGAUGACCAGCCACACUGGAACUGAGACACGGUCCAGAGUCCUAGGGGGGGCAGCAGUGGGGAAGAGUGCAUAAUGGGAGGAAGCCCGAUGCAGCCAUGCCGCGUGUAUGAAGAAGGCCUUCGGGUUGUAAAGUACUUUCAGCGGGGAAGCGUUACCCGCAGAAGAAGCACCGGAUAACUCCGUGCCAGCAGCCGCGGUAAUUC